ensembl:lncRNA
UGAUUAUUAUAGUCUGAAUAUCUUGUGACCUCAUUAUCCCCUGCCUUUUGAUUCUUUAGUUGGACUGUAUCUUUCCUAAUUCACUGUCCCUUUGAUUUCCAAUAGGCAUGACAGUGUCUCAUUAAGAGUGAUGAUUCUGAGACAUCCCUGUUGUCUGACCAGGGUGUUUAAUCCAUACAGGAGAAUCAGCAACUUGAACCUACAAGUCCCUGGAGGUACUGUGGAAGUACAUACCAAUGAAAAAAUCCAGUGAUCAGAUGAAAGCCUUCCUCGUCAAUGCUUAGAUUCUGAUUUCUCACAGCAAUUAAUUUCUGAGACGGAAAAUGCAGUUUGCAAGUUCAUGCAUAAAGUGAAUAGCUAUGUUGUUGAUAUUGCCAGUGCAGCCUAAUUUCUGGGUAAUAAGAACAUAAGAUAAUGUGAUCUGUCAAUUCUGCGUGUAUUUAUUACAGGAAAAAAAACACACAAACAACAAACUAGGAGAAUGAAAGGAAAAUGCAACUUAUUUUGCAGUCUUCUCACAGCAAAUCUGAAUUCUGAUGCAUCAACACAGGGAUCAGUAAAACCUUGUGGAGGAAGCACUUCAACACAGUUUGGGAAAUAAAUUUUGGAAAAAUCAUUUGAUCUCAAAGAUCUAUGGAAAUUAUGUCUGUGUAAUUGGAUGCAACUAGUGAGAAGUUAUAUCACUUUACAUCCCAGUAACAACUUGUUAAGAGUUGUUAAGGUAACAGAAUAAAGAGUUGUUGUGGUAACACAAAUAAAAAAGUUAUGAGAAAGGUCUGAUGUUGUUGUUGUUUUUAUCAUCAGUGUCUUAUCAUUGUUGUCAUCGUCAUUGUUAUCAUCAUCAUCACUAUUAUUUAAAUAAAAUCAACAUAUAACCUAUAUUCAUUUUUAAGUAAAAUACAAACUUGGCAGAGUGUGACAUGCAGAGAGUACUUCUGUAGCUGAAUUAACAUAAAAAGCAUGAUUUCAAUCACAAAUACCACUUUUAUUUCUGGUGUUGCUACUUUAUUUAGGUAACAAGCAGAGAUAUUUAGUUUUGUUCCAAGAUUAACGUCCUAACCAGUGAAUUCCAUGAAGUU